rnacentral:rRNA from 1 species
GAUGAACGCUGGCGGCGUGCCUAACACAUGCAAGUCGAGCGAACAGAUGCGGAGCUUGCUCCUCUGACGUUAGCGGCGGACGGGUGAGUAACACGUGGAUAACCUACCUAUCAGACUGGGAUAACUUCGGGACACCGGCGCUAAUACCGGAUAAUAUAUUGAACCGCAUGGUUCAAUAGUGAAAGACGGUUUUGCUGUCUCUUAUAGAUGGAUCCGCGCCGCAUUAGCUAGUUGGUAAGGUAACGGCUUACCAAGGCAACGAUGCGUAGCCGACCUGAGAGGGUGAUCGGCCACCCUGGAAGUGAGACACGGUCCAGACUCCUACGGGAGGACGCAGAAGGGAAUCUGACGCAAUGGGCGAAAGGCUGACGGAGCAACGCCGCGUGAGUGAUGAAGGUGCUCGGAUCGUAAAGCUCUGUUAUUAGUGAAGAACAAAUGUGUAAGUAACUAUGCAGGUAUUGACGGUACCUGAUCAGAAAGCCACGGCUAACUACGUG